rfam:Aedes albopictus isolate Foshan contig39871, whole genome shotgun sequence.
GGGCCCGUGGUGCAGUGGCUACACGUUCGCUUCAUAAGCGAAUGGUCAUGGGUUCGAUCCCAGCCCCG